GUGCUCACUUCGGCAGCACACAUACUAAAACUGAAACGACAGAAGAUUGGCAUGACCCCUGAGCAAGGAUGACACACAAAUUUGUGAAGCAUUCCAUAUAUUU
rnacentral:snRNA from 1 species